CCCUUAGAUGCUCUGGGCUGCACGCGCGCUACACUGAUGCAUCCAACAAGUUUUUUCCUUGUUCGAGAGGACUAGGUAAUCUUAUGAGAAUGCAUCGUGAUGGGGAUAGAUUAUUGCAAUUAUUAAUCUUCAACGAGGAAUUCCUAGUAAGCGCGAGUCAUCAGCUCGUGCUGAUUACGCCCCUGCCCUUUGUACACACCGCCCGUCGCUGCAACUGAUUGGGUGACCUGGUGAACAUCUUGGACCGGCUCACUCAAUUUCGAGAGGACUGGAAAAGGCCGUAAAUCAGGUACAUCUAGAAAUUGCAAAAGUCGUAACA
rnacentral:rRNA from 1 species